UACGUAGGGUCCAAGCGUUAAUCGGAAUUACUGGGCGUAAAGCGUGCGCAGGCGGUUGUGUAAGCCAGAUGUGAAGUCCCCGGGCUUAACCUGGGAAUGGCAUUUGGGACUGCACGGCUAGAGUACGGCAGAGGAGACUAGAAUUCCUGGUGUAGCAGUGAAAUGCGUAGAUAUCAGGAGGAAUACCGAUGGCGAAGGCAGGUCUCUGGGUCGAUACUGACGCUCAUGCACGAAAGCGCGGGGAGCAAACAGG
rnacentral:rRNA from 1 species